rnacentral:rRNA from 1 species
AAAUUAAACCAUCGAUUCCCUUCGGGGUAGAUUGUUAUGGAUCCGAGUCUGUGCGGACGGGUGAGUAACACGUGGGCAACCUACCUGCAAGAUCGGGAUAACUCCGGGAAACCGGGGCUAAUACCGAAUGAUCGUUGGAACCGCAUGGUUCCAACGUAAAAGGCGGCUUUUGCCGUCACUCGCAGAUGGGCCCGCGGCGCAUUAGCUAGUUGGUAAGGUAACGGCUUACCAAGGCGACGAUGCGUAGCCGACCUGAGAGGGUGAUCGGCCACACUGGGACUGAGACACGGCCCAGACUCCUACGGGAGGCAGCAGUAGGGAAUCUUCCGCAAUGGACGAAAGUCUGACGGAGCAACGCCGCGUGAACGAUGAAGGUCUUCGGAUCGUAAAGUUCUGUUGUUAGGGAAGAACAAGUACCAGAGGAAAUGCUGGUACCUUGACGGUACCUAACCAGAAAGCCACGGCUAACUACGUGCCAGCAGCCGCGGUAAUACGUAGGUGGCAAGCGUUGUCCGGAAUUAUUGGGCGUAAAGCGCGCGCAGGCGGUUUCUUAAGUCUGAUGUGAAAGCCCACAGCUCAACUGUGGAGGGCCAUUGGAAACUGAGGAACUUGAGUACAGAAGAGGAGAGCGGAAUUCCACGUGUAGCGGUGAAAUGCGUAGAUAUGUGGAGGAACACCAGUGGCGAAGGCGGCUCUCUGGUCUGUAACUGACGCUGA